rnacentral:lncRNA from 1 species
UCACCUCUGACUUAUGUUUUACCUCAAAUAAUCUAAUAAAAAUAGUUUCUCACACUAUUUUUAUUUAUUAUUAUUUUUUAUACCAUCUGGUAUUUACAUUCUCCACCCUUUAAAAAGAAUUUCGUCCGCGAAAUUCAACACACACUCAAUUCUCUCGAACAUUGGGCCUUUUCCUUCGGAAUGGCUUUACACUCUUUGGAACUAUCCAAAGGACUACUACGGAGCUCAUGAUACCAACGCAUCCAACUUUGCAAGGCACAUCUCACAAAGUGCAUUACAGUCUCCGUCACUCUAGGGGUAGCGCGAGUCGAAACUCGACGACUCUACGCGCUCUAACACCACUUGCCACUCGACCACAAAGAACUUUCUUUGCAUUGACUUCCCUUUCAGGGAAUACAUUCCUAUUCGUCACGACAUGCUUAAAAGCGAUAUCACACGGUGCAUCGUUUCGUCGUGAGUGCUCUAAUUUCGCACAGACCCUUAACUUUAUCGUGAGGUGGCCCACCUCGGCGCAUCCCAUUCAAUCCUCNNNNNNNNNNNNNNNNNNNNNNNNNAGAGAGCAAUCUAGAGAGAGAAAGAAGGGUUUCUCUCUCCCUUCUCCAUGCGCGCGUGGGUGGCCAUGGUGGUCGGCUGAAGAAGAAAGAAGCAAAAAGCUUCUUUAUACAUUACACCCCAAAACACUAUUCACCUCCAGGCAGCUUAAAAUCUGAUAACUUUCGCCGGAGCUCCCUGAAUCUCCGUUUGAGCUCAAACUUGACAGUCAUGUUCGGUUUUACUUAACUUAACAAGCUGACGAUCACUGGUUCAGUUUCGACCCCGUUUGGUCACUGAAAACUGUACCGAACUGCAAUCUUUAUCAGAUAGCUUUCGGAUUUUAUUUCUCACUCUAUGGGUGUCAGAAAAAUAUGAAACCUUAAAUCUAGCCUCAUAAAAAUAUUUCUGACAUCUCCGCCAAUUUUCAUAAUUUUCUGAGACUGUGCAUUUUCUGCUUAUUUUUCUGUCCCGUCUCCAACAGAAAAUUCUAGAUCUUCUGUUUUAAUUCCGAUUUCAGCACAAGUCACCUCUGACUUAUGUUUUACCUCUAUAAAUCUAAUAAAAAUAGUUUCUCACACUAUUUUUAUUUAUUAUUAUUUUUAUACCAAAAUCUGGUAUAUUACAUUCUCCACCCCUUAAAAAGAAUUUCGUCCGCGAAAUUCAAAACACACCUCAAUUCAGCUCUUCGAGCAAUUGUGGGCACCAACGCACUUUUUCACUUUGGAAUGGCUUUACACUCUUUGGAACUAUCCAAUAGGACUACUACGGAGCUCAUGAUACCAAACGCAUCCAACUUUGCAAGGCACAUCUCACAAAGUGCAUUACAGUCUCCGUCACUCUAGGGGGUAGCGCGAGUCGAAACUCGACGACUCUACGCGCUCUAACACCACUUGCCACUCGACACACAAAGAACUUUUCUUUGCAUUGACUUCCCUUUCAGGGAAUACAUUCCUAUUCGAUCACCGACAUUGCUUAAAAGCGAUAUCACCGGUGCAUCGUUUCGUCGUGAGUGCUCUAAUUUCGCAC